GAGGGUAUAGUUCAGUGGUAGAGUGUGUGCUUAGCAGGCACCAAGAUCCUGGGUUCAAUCCCCAGCACCUCCA
rnacentral:tRNA from 1 species